rnacentral:rRNA from 1 species
AGCGAACGCUGGCGGCAUGCCUAACACAUGCAAGUCGCACGGGGGGGCUUCGGCCUCCCAGUGGCGGACGGGUGAGGAACGCGUAGGGACCUGUCGAGGGGUGGGGGAUAACCGCGGGAAACUGCGGCUAAUACCGCAUGACGCCGCGGCGUGACAGCCGGGGCCAAAGGCGAAAGCCGCCCGCCGAGGGGCCUGCGUCCGAUUAGCUGGUUGGCGGGGUAGCGGCCCACCAAGGCGUCGAUCGGUAGCUGGUCUGAGAGAGUGAUCAGCCACACCGGGACUGAGACACAGCCCGGACUCCUACGGGAGGCAGCAGUGGGGAAUAUUGGACAAUGGGCGCAAGCCUGAUCCAGCAAUGCCGCGUGAGUGAAGAAGGUCUUCGGAUUGUAAAGCCCUUUCGGCGGGGACGAUGGUGACGGUACCCGCAGAAGAAGCCCCGGCUAACUUCGUG